rnacentral:rRNA from 1 species
CCUACGGGUGGCUGCAGUGAGGAAUAUUGGUCAAUGGGCGCGAGGCUGAACCAGCCAAGUAGCGUGAAGGAUGACUGUCCUACGGGUUGUAAACUUCUUUUAUCAAGGGAUAAAGUGAGGCACGUGUGCCUGUUUGUGUGUACUUUAUGAAUAAGGAUCGGCUAACUCCGUGCCAGCAGCCGCGGUAAUACGGAGGAUCCGAGCGUUAUCCGGAUUUAUUGGGUUUAAAGGGUGCGUAGACGGGUUGUUAAGUCAGUUGUGAAAGUUUGCGGCUCAACCGUAAAAUUGCAAUUGAUACUGGCAGUCUUGAGUACAGUAGAGGUAGGCGGAAUGCGUGGUGUAGCGGUGAAAUGCUUAGAUAUCGCGAAGAACUCCGAUUGCGAAGGCAGCUUACUA